rnacentral:lncRNA from 1 species
UUAUAUUGAAGCAAUAGCUGCUAGUAAUUGAGAGGAGCUUGUGACUAGUCUUAUUUUCCUAAGCAUGAGGUGUAAGGCAAGGAGAAGGAAUAGGCUGCCAAUUAAGCUAAGCUACAUUUGAGAAUAAGAAAGAAACCAGGAAGCUUAGCUAGCCUAGCAUAACUCCAGCAACUUCAAUUCCUCUCCAUUCCCGUACACUGUCACUCUCCACCUUUCUCGCUCAAAAUUUUAAAGUUCCCAAGACUAGCAAAUUCUAAGAAGCUAAAGCAAGAAAUAAGCAAUUGAAGUAUUAGCUGGAAUUGUAGUAAGGAAGAUAAUCAAAUUGGCAAUCAUCAAACCCAAACUAAGGUAAGAAAUGUAUCAAUUCAGGCAUACUCUCAUUCCUUCCUCUCUUCUAUGAAAUUGAGGUAUUGAUGAUAAGAGUAGACGAUAUAUGUAUGGCUUUGCUUGUGUUUAGGCUGAGAAUUAUAAGGAGGUUUAUGCAAGGUGUAUGGAGAUUAUAUCGUUGCAUAUUGAAUAUAUUAGAAUUAAGAAUUAAAGUUUAAAGUUAGUAAACUAGUUAGUUUGCUAAUUCGUUGAUUAUUCAUUUGCAUGAAUUAGAAACAAGGGGAUAAGCUUGGUUGUAUGGUGAAAUAUGGAAGCUAAAAUGGGAUGAUAGCACAAAUAAAUGGCUGUGAAAUGAGUGUUCCAAAAUAGCACACACUACUUGUUCGAUAAAAAGCC